rnacentral:rRNA from 1 species
AUUGAACGCUGGCGGCAGGCCUAACACAUGCAAGUCGAGCGGAUGAAGGGAGCUUGCUCCUGGAUUCAGCGGCGGACGGGUGAGUAAUGCCUAGGAAUCUGCCUGGUAGUGGGGGAUAACGUCCGGAAACGGGCGCUAAUACCGCAUACGUCCUGAGGGAGAAAGUGGGGGAUCUUCGGACCUCACGCUAUCAGAUGAGCCUAGGUCGGAUUAGCUAGUUGGUGGGGUAAAGGCCUACCAAGGCGACGAUCCGUAACUGGUCUGAGAGGAUGAUCAGUCACACUGGAACUGAGACACGGUCCAGACUCCUACGGGAGGCAGCAGUGGGGAAUAUUGGACAAUGGGCGAAAGCCUGAUCCAGCCAGGCCGCGGGUGUGAAGAAGGUCUUCGGAUUGUAAAGCACUUUAAGUUGGGAGGAAGGGCAGUAAGUUAAUACCUUGCUGUUUUGACGUUACCAACAGAAUAAGCACCGGCUAACUUCGU